rnacentral:rRNA from 1 species
UACGGAGGGAGCUAGCGUUGUUCGGAAUUACUGGGCGUAAAGCGCACGUAGGCGGCUUUGUAAGUUAGAGGUGAAAGCCCGGGGCUCAACUCCGGAACUGCCUUUAAGACUGCAUCGCUUGAAUCCAGGAGAGGUGAGUGGAAUUCCGAGUGUAGAGGUGAAAUUCGUAGAUAUUCGGAAGAACACCAGUGGCGAAGGCGGCUCACUGGACUGGUAUUGACGCUGAGGCACGAAAGUGUGGGGAUCAAACAGG